rnacentral:rRNA from 1 species
UACGUAGGGACCGAGCGUUGUCCGGAAUCAUUGGGCGUAAAGAGCGUGUAGGCGGCCACUUAAGUCCUGCGUGAAAUCCUGCGGCUCAACCGCAGGCGGUCGUGGGAAACUGGGUGGCUAGAGUGCGGGAGAGGAGAGUGGAAUUCCUGGUGUAGCGGUGAAAUGCGUAGAUAUCGGGAGGAACACCAGUGGCGAAGGCGACUACCUGGCCUGUUCUUGACGCUGAGGCGCGAAAGCUAGG